AGCUCCCUAAGAUUUAAUUUUCAAAUUUUAUCGUCCUUAUUUACGUAAAAGUGUCACGUAAAUCCUCCGAAAGAUUGGCAAUUUUAUUUUCACAUAAAAAUUGCCUUUGAGUUACUUGGAAUUUUACCUAUUUAAUUAAAAAACCUAUUCAAAUAUCAGGACAUAUAUUCUAACGUCGCAUUAUUCCUAAUUCUCCGUGAUCUUCGAAAAACGUGUGUAAUUUAUGGUUGAUUUAAGCGAGUCAAAUACAUUUACUGAAACCCCAUUUGCCUUUAUCAGGUCGAAGAAUGUGUACCACUUUUGAUUAAAAUCAUCAUUCAUCUGUGUGUCUAUUCUUGACUUUGAGAGAAGGGAGUAUCCCCGGGAGCAUCACAGGGUGUCGCUCCUCGCUCACGAUCCCUAGCGUAAAAAAAUAGUAUUCCAGCAGUCCCUGCAAGCACUGUUGCCAGCUUAUCUGACCAAUCAAAAUUGAGAAAAUAUUGACGGUCUGACAUGCUCGCCAACGUCAUUUAUUUACUAUUGUGGCGGAACUCGUACCAACCUUUUGUUUUAAAAGAGACAGACAUCUAAGAAUCAUGUAUUUGUCUUUAUCUAAGCUAAGAAACGGUCGUUUAUUCCCUCGUUUUCUGCUGUUUUUGUUUUUUAAGCAUGGUUCAUUGCUUCUGUGCCCUAUUGAGGUAAGGUAAUGUACUAGUAAAAUGAAUACAGUUUUAUGAAG